UCGAGGAUCUUCGGCAAUGGGCGCAAGCCUGACCGAGCGACGCCGCGUGCGGGAUGAAGGCCUUCGGGUUGUAAACCGCUGUCGAGGGGGAGGAAGCCGCAAGGUUGACCUAUCCCUGGAGGAAGCACGGGCUAAGUUCGUGCCAGCAGCCGCGGUAAGACGAACCGUGCGAACGUUGUUCGGAAUCACUGGGCUUAAAGGGCGCGUAGGCGGGUCAGCCAGUUCGGGGUGAAAUCCUUCGGCUUAACCGGAGAACUGCCUCGAAGACGACUGAUCUGGAGGGAGGUAGGGGUCGCUGGAACUUCCGGUGGAGCGGUGAAAUGCGUUGAUAUCGGAAGGAACGCCGGUGGCGAAAGCGAGCGACUGGACCUUUACUGACGCUGAGGCGCGAAAGCUAGGGGAGCAAACGGGAUUAGAUACCCCCGUAGUCC
rnacentral:rRNA from 1 species